GACGAACGCUGGCGGCGUGCUUAACACAUGCAAGUCGAACGGAAAGGCCCUGCUUUUGUGGGGUGCUCGAGGGGCGAACGGGUGAGUAACACGUGAGUAGCCUGCCCUUGACUUUGGGAUAACUUCAGGAAACUGGGGCUAAUACCGGAUAGGAGCUCCUGCUGCAGGGUGGGGGUUGGAAAGUUUCGGCGGGUGGGGAUGGACUCGCGGCUUAUCAGCUUGUUGGGGGGGGAGUGGCUUACCAAGGCUUUGACGGGUAGCCGGCCUGGGAGCGUGAACGGCCACCUUGGGCCUGAGAUACGGCCCAGACUCCUACGGGAGGCAGCAGUGGGGAAUAUUGCACAAUGGGCGGAAGCCUGAUGCAGAAACGCCCCGUGCGGGAUGACGGCCUUCGGGUUGUAAACCGCUUUCGCCUGUGACGAAGCGUGAGUGACGGUAAUGGGUAAAGAAGCACCGGCUAACUACGUG
rnacentral:rRNA from 1 species